rnacentral:rRNA from 1 species
UACGUAGGGUGCGAGCGUUAAUCGGAAUUACUGGGCGUAAAGCGUGCGCAGGCGGUGAUGUAAGACAGGUGUGAAAUCCCCGGGCUUAACCUGGGAACUGCAUUUGUGACUGCAUCGCUGGAGUGCGGCAGAGGGGGAUGGAAUUCCGCGUGUAGCAGUGAAAUGCGUAGAUAUCGCCUGGAACGCCGAAGGUGAAAACAAUCUGCUGGGGGUCUGCUGACGCUGAGACACGAAAGCCAGGGGAGCAAACGGG